rnacentral:rRNA from 1 species
CCCUUAGAUGUUCUGGGCCGCACGCGCGCUACACUGAUGCAUUCAACGAGCCUAUCCUUGACCGACAGGUCCGGGUAAUCUUUGAAUCUGCAUCGUGAUGGGGCUAGAUUAUUGCAAUUAUUAAUCUUCAACGAGGAAUGCCUAGUAAGCGUGAUUCAUCAAAUCGCGUUGAUUACGUCCCUGCCCUUUGUACACACCGCCCGUCGCUCCUACCGAUUGAAUGUGUUGGUGAGGAGCUCGGAUUGGCAGCAGUUGGUGGUUCGCCACCGGCUAUUGCUGAGAAGUCCUCCAAACCGCCCCAUUUAGAGGAAGGAGAAGUCGUAACA